rnacentral:rRNA from 1 species
UACGUAGGGAGCAAGCGUUGUCCGGAAUCAUUGGGCGUAAAGCGCGCGUAGGUGGCUUCGUAAGUCCGUUGUGAAAGUCAAAGGCUCAACCUUUGAAAGCCGAUGGAUACUGCGGAGCUAGAGUACGGAAGAGGCGAGUGGAAUUCCUGGUGUAGCGGUGAAAUGCGCAGAUAUCAGGAGGAACACCGAUGGCGAAGGCAGGUCUCUGGGCAUUAACUGACGCUGAGGAGCGAAAGCAUGGGGAGCGAACAGG